CAACAACAGUCGUUGGGUUCUUUAUUAAGGAACGGAGAGCGGCUCGGAAACCCUUGGAAAAUGUUACUUAUUCACCAUUAUGAAAGAUCAUUUGAAAUUGGACACAACCCUGGAUAUUUGACUUCACUUCUCUGGAACCUGGAACUUCGAUAUUAAAAGACUUCCAUUAGAGAACAUAUUUCUUAAUUUCAUUAACAAAAACAAAACAAAACAACAACAACAACAAAAAAAAGGAAAAGUAAAAAUUUUUAUCGCUCAAAGAAAGUAUUUAGUACCCAGUAAUAACUGUUGAGUCCACAAGCAAACAUUAGAGCAAGCAGCUUUGAAAAAGGAAUAGUAUCCCCCCCCCCCUCGUCUUUUUUCCUUAUAAUCAUAGUCUGACACAGCAGUUUGUGACUUGUGUUAACAUGGAUUUAAAGUGUGUCUAGAGAUUAAACUUCAAGGCUGGUUUCACUUUAGUUAUGUAAACAGUGAAUCAACUGGCUAGAGUAUAGAUAUGAUGGAUGUUCUCCAGUCUGCUGCAGAUAAGAUAGAAAAAGAUGGUAACACUGAACCUGAUGCCAUCAAAGUCAAAAUGAAAACAAGACCUCCUGUUAGUUCUAUUACUAAGUUGACCAAUGUUAUUUCAAGUUGUGUGACUGUUGGAAAAAAGAAGGAAGUUAGCAGCAUAUACAAUUCUACAAAUGCAAUUAAGAAGAGAAGAUAUUCUCAUAUUAUAAAUGCUCAUAAAACUCAGGUUGAAAAUACUAAAACGGAUAAUGAGAAGGAUAACGACAAGAACAACAACAACGAUGAUGACAACAAUGAUGAUGAUGAUGCUGAUGAUGAUGGUGACAGAGACAUCAGAUUGAAACCAAAGUUAUACAUUGAUGAAAGCAGAAUGGAAACAGAGGCAAAACAGACUGAAAAGCAUCCAAACUCUGCCGAUGUAUGUAACAUGGAAACAAAGUUAACCGAAACUACCGAGCUACCAACGGAAGCAAGCAAAGACAUAACUGGUGGCAUGGUUAAAAAAUCAAGCAUUUCAGUUCCUGAAUUGGCAAAGAAAGAAGACAAUGUCAAAGGAUGUAAAGAUAGAUUUGUACGCAAGUCGCAAGACUCUUCGGUUCAACCAAACAUGUCACCUGAUUCCACCACGUAUAUUGGAGAUGAUUUUUCUUUGCAGAAAAUACAACGCAAAGUCUCUUUCAUUUAUGUGAAAAAUAGUUUUAUCUGCUUAAAAUGUCUGAAAAAAUUUUGUGGCGCUUCUCUUUUCCGUAAACACCUUUGGUGGCAUCUUCAUGGAAACACAUUAAAAGAUUAUCUUUGUCCCUACUGCAACUCUCUGAGUGAGAAAUCAAAAUGUCCAACUGUUUCUAAAAUAGUUCGGCUACUAAUCUCUUCUGCUUCAGAUUCUUCUAUAUCUUUAGAGACAAACUCUGUGUUUGGUCUUGAGAAAAUGUCCCAUAUUUCUGGAAACGGUCCUCAUAAGAAUACAGCAUCACAACAACUUAAUAAUUCUGAUUAUUAUUGCUGGGAAAAAUUGAAGUCAAAGCAAAUCAUUUCCUCUUCUGUAUUGGAACAUGGUGUUGGUAACGUAGCUGGUCUAUAUGACAAUGGCAAAACAAAUAAACCAAUGGAGACAACUGAUCAGGCUUUCACCCUUUCAGAUGAUGCUCCACUUAAUUUAUCUAUCAAUAGUGCCCACAAGAUAAAUCUCUUUUCUGACUCUAAAAGCAUAUCAGUAUAUGGAAACACUGAAGCCUCUUUGCCCAAAAACUAUUCACAAAACUCUUAUCACACAUUCCUCAACGUAGAGCAAAAUCAGUUGAUAUUCAGUGGAACUCAUGGUAUAUAUUUUUGUCAGGAUUGCAACAGUAAUUAUGAAUCAACUAAAUCAUUUUAUGCUCAUGUUUUAUGGCAUUUAGAAUGUCAGUUAGCACUUUGCUCUCCGUGCAUGGAUCAAUGUGACUAUUUGGAUAGCCCGACUGAAAAAAGACCAGGGAGAACUUGUUGUUUAAUGGCUUACAUUGUACUGUGUCUCUCGGAGGAUAAUGCUGUGAAGAAGCAGCUGAAAGUGUGCUGGAAAAUAGAUGAGAAGCACAAUGCCACUUUCACAGUAUAUGUAACUAUGGAAGGAAAUACUGCUGAGCCAGUUGAUGUCUGUAAAAUAAUCCCAAAUGAUGGUCACUCUGGAUACUCAGUGAGAAAAAUCAACAUCAAAGAUACCGUCUCUCCUCGUUUGGUUUCUGCUCAAGAGCAUUUGCCUGUUUUUAACUCAUCCGAUUUAAGUUCCUUGAUAACUCACUCGGACAAAACUAUUCCCUACACAGGAAGGAAGUCUAAAGGUGUUAUCACUAUUAUCUUAUGUCAAAAUAUUUAUGAAUGUUUAAAUUGUAAAGAAGAAAUGUAUUCUCAUGACUUGCUGAUAUCUCAUCUACUCUGGCAUUUCCAUUCACAUGAUCAUCUUUGUACGUACCCUAAUUGUUUAACCAAGCGGUCUUGUCCAGUUUUAAAUAAUGUUUUACCAUGCAUUCCAGUUUUGGACAGCAGUUUUAACGUUCAGAUUCCUUUCUUCAUAAGCUGGGAAGUGCUUCCUAGUGGGAAGACACACUUUUCCGUACAUUUUAUGAAUCGUUGUAACAAAGAUAAAACUGAUGCCCAGCUAAAUCUUAGUGGUCGUCUUAGCCCAGCUUCAAAGGAUGGUGGCGUUUGCAUGGACUUCGAAAAAGGCAGCAGAAACCUGAUUCGACUUAAAACCACGUCUCCUGAAGUUGUUUCACUUACUUGUUUAAAAAAGACCAGAAACACAGAAGAAAAUUCAAGUGGUGAAAAGCACAAUGAUAAACCUGCUUUGAGUGAUGUGCGAGGCUUCAGUUCAAAUGCUGCGUUAGACAAAGAGAAGCACCAAUCUCCUUCUUGUACCCCUCUUUCUCAAAAGAAAUCUGCUCCAGAUAACUUAACCGAAGUCGAUAAUGUUCCGAGUCAAUCAAAUUCUGAAACAGACCCAAACGACAAGAAAAGUUCAUUUGAAGGCUUUGAAAAAAUGUCAUUCAUUUGUAAAUCUGAUCAGUACAUAUGUUUAGACUGUAGUAAACAUUUCAUAGUGCUAACUCAUUUCAAAUCUCACAUUAUGUGGCAUUUCCAUGUGUUGAAGAAGCUCUGCUCACAUGGAGACGAGCAGACUUUUGAUUGUCCAAUCUUGAGAAACAUCAUGCUUUGCCUGCCCGACAGUGAUAAGAUGACGAAAACUGUUGAAAUUCAUUGGAAGAAAGAGUCUUCUGGAAAAACUACAUUUAAAGUACAGACCUAUUACCUGAAACCAGCAAAACCCAAGGUAAAUUUAGAAAGUCACAUAGAUUUCACUGCUGAAAAUUCUGACUCUGAUACUGUAAUAGUGAUUGAUGAUAUUGAUGACAACGAAAUGUUGCUUCGGCAAUCUGCUUCCUCCGUAUCAUUUGACAGUUCUACAUCUGCUGAUACUGCAUCGAGUCAACAAGAGACAACACCUCCUCUCACUGCUGCUACUAAUAACACUACUUCUAGUACAGCUGUGACAGCAUAUAAAGAAAAUGGAUAUGGAAGCAGUACCAGUAUUUCAACUACUACACUGACAGAAGACAGUGUUUGCUCACCUGUGACUGAAGAAGGAAACAGUUCCAAGACAUUUCCCACUGUCUUAGAAGAGAAUAGUGUUUGCUCGUCUGCCACAAACCUUACACAAGUCAGUACUUGUACUGCUGCUGCUACAUCAGCAAAGGACACCACUACCCAUACUCCUUCCACUCCUCACAUAGAAUCUGGCUUUUAUGCAGCAGAUGGUGUCCAUAAUUCACCCCCUUAUACAUUAGCAAUUAACACUACAUCCAUUCCUGCUCCCUCAACCACUUCAAUAACAGAAAGUAUUAGGACUUCACCAAAUACUACAGAACAAGACAGUGUUCAGACUCCCACUGCUACUCCAACAGAAGACCCUUACAAUCUGGUUUCCACUAAUGGUGUAAGUGACAGUGUACACCUUACUUCUACCAAUGGCAUAGAAAGCAGGGGAGCAAUUACAGAUGAUCAAUCUUUAGGCUGUGAGGCAAAAUCUGUCAUUGAACAUUCUUCUGUUGGUGGCUUUUAUGUUUGUGGUUCAAAAGAUUGCAAGUUUUCCAGCUUGACACCUGAACCCUUUUCAAAACAUUUUACACAAGUCCACUCCGAUGCUGCCAUAUACCCCUGUGCUCAUUGCAGCAUUCAAACAGAAACCAGUGAGAAAUUAUUGCAGCACAUGGAUUUGCAUGCAACUAAUAAGAUGUUUCUAUUAUACCAGUGCAGUAUUCUCAGUUGCAAGUUUGGAACAAAUCUUCGCACUGAAUUCUCAAACCAUCUCCAGUUUUGUCAUCAAUCGAAAUCUACAUAUUCAUGUAGAUAUUGUAAAGUGGGUCAUCCCAAUGUUAAUAGUCUCAUUAAACACUUUGAAUCCAAUCUGCUCAAAUUCAUCCACUGCCCACAUUGCAAUGCCAGGGACACCAGUCGAAUCCGUAUACUCAACCACAUUCGAUUGAAGCACUCUGAGAAGCCACGGCAGAUCAUUGUCUCCAGUCAAAUAAUCUGUGCUGAGAAAAAAUUAAAUGCUGCUGUACCAUUAGCAAAAGAUACGGAUAAAAGAACUGCACAUAAGGCCAAUGAAAAACUGGCCAGACCUGAGAGCAAUUCAGAUUCUUCAAAAGCCACAAAAACUGCAGAAUCUACAGACAAUUCUAUACAUGAAGAAAUAUUUGAUACUAGUCACUCGUUCAGUAAUAAAGAUAAAACUGAUGAAAGUAAUGAAAUGGGUAAAGAAUCUGCAAAGGAAUUAACUGCUGCAAAACCGAGUUGCAUGGAUGAUACUGUCAGGUUAAACCAGAAAUCUAUUCAAGGAGAAGAGAGAUUAUUAGGGAAAUCGACAGCUCGUAAAGCAAAGCAAAGAAAAAAUGCUAAUUCAAACAAGCGCAAGACUGGGAAAGAUAAAACAAAAGCUACAGGGAAACCGCCAGUCCGCAAACUAAAAAUUGUUCUUAAAAGAGUUGACAAUUCUGUGAUUUCGAAAUCUGAAAAUAAGGACAAAAGCACCUCAGCUUCUCCCAAAGUAACAUCUCCUCCUUACAAAGAGCGAAAUGUGUUCCAAUUAUUCAAUGAAAUUGAGAACAGCUGCCAAGUAAAUAGUAGUUCUGCCAUUUCUUCAGCAGAUUGCCAAGAGGCAGCUGCUUUGAAUAUUGAUGAGAACGCACCCAGCCUUGAUAAUGAGAAAUUAACAGAGGAGGAGGCUUCUAUUGAGCCAUCAUCACCAAACAUCAAGGAAACUUGGUUUAAUGAAAUAAGCCUUGGAGGACCAAUGUUGAACAGCCGACUGAAAAUAUGUUUUACCACCGAACAGGGGAAAUAUAAGUGUUUGUUGUGUUCUACAAUUUUCAGCACUGUAUAUAAGAUUCAUUUGCAUUUACUCAGUGACCAUUUCCGUUGGCCUCUUUGGAACUGUAUGGACUGUGGUGUCCGUUUUUACUCUCUUUCUAAGAUACGCUCUCACUGCUGGCGUAAGCAUAAAUUCAAAGACCAUAACAUUAAACCUCUUCCACUACCGUUAAUUACAAUGGGUGAUAAUGGCAAGCCACUUGUAAAUAUGACAAGGCCUUUAUCAGAUUCAGAGAGAAGGAAGUCCACAGAAGACGAGUCUGGUGAAAUGACAGCUGGAAAUAAGAAAGCCCCAGGUUCAGAUGGAAAGGAGGUUAGCCCUGUAAAAAGUAAAAAAAAGAAAAAAUCAGUAAAAGUCCCUUCUAAAAAGACUUGUAAAUUAUGUUCAUUUUCCUAUAAGAAGAAAAUGGAAUUAAUCAUACACAUGGUUUUAAGUCAUAAUCAAGAACUGAAAAAAUCUAUCAAAGAAAAAGACGUGACACUAAUCGAGGAGUCUAUUAUUCGAGAUGAGAGUGGAAAGUUUAUUUGUCCUUUCUGUGAGCAUUCUUGCAAGCAGAGGGUUGAUUGUAAAAUUCAUAUUUGGCGUGUUCAUGUAGGACUGAAGUAUUUGAAUUGUCAGCAUUGUAACUUUGUCACUUGGUUUUCUUCUUGUCUCCAGAAACAUGAACAAGAAGAACAUAAAGCUGAAGAGCAUGCCAACUCAGAGGAUGUGGGGUUGGCUAUGCAGAAAUCUCAUGGGAUAGAUUCUACUAGACCUAACUAUGCUUGUGAUACAAGCUUGUCUAGAAAUGGCCCUCAACCAGUUUCACCAAGUGUAAAUGGAUGCUUGGAGAAAAAUGCUCCUGAACAGACUCAUCUCCCGACUGUGGUUAUGACACUGUCUGCAGGAGAUGCAACUACAGCUGGAUGCAAGCGGAAAGGAAAGGAGCCAGAAGAGGUUACGAAAAAGCUCAGUAAAAAGUCUUCGGUUCAACAUAAAAGAAAAGUGUGGAAGAAAAACAAAAGCCCACAAAAGAAGUCUGUACCUCGGUUGCCAAGAAUAGGCACCAAGAAAAAGAACAAUACUAAAGAUGCUAACAAUCUGGCUGAAAGUCGUGCAGACGUGUCGAGAAUAUUGCUCUCUCUCUUUCAACAGACUCCAUCAGAAUCAACCCUAACCAACGACCAAACAAGCUAGAAUUUGAAUUAUUUCUUUAUCUGUAUAUUUAUAUUUCACUGUCUUGGAAUAUAUGAAGAGACUCCUUCAGGCCAUUGAAAAGGACAAAAGAACUUCUGGAGAAGACGGAGACAAAUAUUUUCAAAUGGCUGUUUAUUAAUAAAAGAUGGAAGUCUUGUUCAUUUAUGAUUUUUCAUUCGUUAUAACAUCGUUAAAACAGUUUCUCUUUGUAUAUGUUUUUCCUGUUUACAUUGAAAAAAAAGACACUUUUCAUAUUGCAUCGUCAGUUAUUAUCUUUCCUCCCCAUUUUCAUUCCCCAUAUUUUGGUGUUAGCAACAAAAUGAUAAUUGGAUAUUGUUUAUUUAUAUUUUUGUUAAAAACAAACAUUUCUGUUAAAAACCCCAUUUUUUAUGUGUUGUUUGAGAAAACAUUAUACAAGUGACCAUUGUACAUUGUAUUUAAAUGUUUCCUUGUUUCUUGUUAUCUUUUGUGAUAUUUUGUUUAAACAUUGUGUAAUUUUCUACUUGUUGACUCUUUAAAAUUAACAGUUGUGUGUUGCCUUUUCGUCGAAACAUUGUCAAUAUGGCAUUUUUUAAAGUCUUAAUUAGCAUUUUUAAUAUUCAUUCAAAUGGCUCUACUGCAAGGGAAUGGACAAGCACAUAGCUGUAGGCCUGAAAGUAAGAGCUUUCAUGUUUAAAAAAGAAAAAAAAACAAACAAAAGAAAACUGAACAAAAUGUUUAUAUAAAAUUCUACUGGGCAAGUUGCCCAAACAAUUUAUUACAUUCCAAAGACAAUGGAUCAUUUAUUAAGUUCUAGAAAUAUUUUUCAAUGUUCUAAUGUCCCGAAUUUUUUUCUUUCAUGUUCAAUGUGUUUUGUUACUGUUUUAAGCAAUCCGUUUAAUUAAUAAAACAAUUGUUUUUAUAUAU